UGCAUCGGCCGGGAAUCGAACCUGGACCACCCGCCUGGCAAGCAGGCAUUCUACCACUGAACCACUGAUGG
rnacentral:tRNA from 1 species